rnacentral:rRNA from 1 species
UGGCAGUCAGAGGCGAUGAAGGGCGUGCUAAUCUGCGAUAAGCGCCGGUAAGGUGAUAUGAACCGUUAUAACCGGCGAUACCCGAAUGGGGAAACCCAGUGUGACUCGUCACACUAUCAUUAACUGAAUCCAUAGGUUAAUGAGGCGAACCGGGGGAACUGAAACAUCUAAGUACCCCGAGGAAAAGAAAUCAACCGAGAUUCCCCCAGUAGCGGCGAGCGAACGGGGAGGAGCCCAGAGCCUGAAUCAGCAUGUGUGUUAGUGGAAGCGUCUGGAAAGGCGCGCGAUACAGGGUGACAGCCCCGUACACAAAAGCGCAUGUGCUGUGAGCUCGAUGAGUAGGGCGGGACACGUGGUAUCCUGUCUGAAUAUGGGGGGACCAUCCUCCAAGGCUAAAUACUCCUGACUGACCGAUAGUGAACCAGUACCGUGAGGGAAAGGCGAAAAGAACCCCGGCGAGGGGAGUGAAAAAGAACCUGAAACCGUGUACGUACAAGCAGUGGGAGCACAGGUUUACCUGUGUGACUGCGUACCUUUUGUAUAAUGGGUCAGCGACUUAUAUUCUGUAGCAAGGUUAACCGUAUAGGGGAGCCGUAGGGAAACCGAGUCUUAACCGGGCGUUAAGUUGCAGGGUAUAGACCCGAAACCCGGUGAUCUAGCCAUGGGCAGGUUGAAGGUUGGGUAACACUAACUGGAGGACCGAACCGACUAAUGUUGAAAAAUUAGCGGAUGACCUGUGGCUGGGGGUGAAAGGCCAAUCAAACCGGGAGAUAGCUGGUUCUCCCCGAAAGCUAUUUAGGUAGCGCCUCGUGAAUUCAUCUCCGGGGGUAGAGCACUGUUUCGGCUAGGGGGCCAUCCCGGCUUACCAACCCGAUGCAAACUGCGAAUACCGGAGAAUGUUAUCACGGGAGACACACGGCGGGUGCUAACGUCCGUCGUGAAGAGGGAAACAACCCAGACCGCCAGCUAAGGUCCCAAAGUCAUGGUUAAGUGGGAAACGAUGUGGGAAGGCCCAGACAGCCAGGAUGUUGGCUUAGAAGCAGCCAUCAUUUAAAGAAAGCGUAAUAGCUCACUGGUCGAGUCGGCCUGCGCGGAAGAUGUAACGGGGCUAAACCAUGCACCGAAGCUGCGGCAGCGACGCUGAUGCGUUGUUGGGUAGGGGAGCGUUCUGUAAGCCUGUGAAGGUGGCCUGUGAGGGUUGCUGGAGGUAUCAGAAGUGCGAAUGCUGACAUAAGUAACGAUAAAGCGGGUGAAAAGCCCGCUCGCCGGAAGACCAAGGGUUCCUGUCCAACGUUAAUCGGGGCAGGGUGAGUCGACCCCUAAGGCGAGGCCGAAAGGCGUAGUCGAUGGGAAACGGGUUAAUAUUCCCGUACUUGGUGUUACUGCGAAGGGGGGACGGAGAAGGCUAUGUUGGCCGGGCGACGGUUGUCCCGGUUUAAGCGUGUAGGUGUGUGUUCCAGGUAAAUCCGGUUCACUUUAACACUGAGGCGUGAUGACGAGGCACUACGGUGCUGAAGCAACAAAUGCCCUGCUUCCAGGAAAAGCCUCUAAGCAUCAGGUAACAUCAAAUCGUACCCCAAACCGACACAGGUGGUCAGGUAGAGAAUACCAAGGCGCUUGAGAGAACUCGGGUGAAGGAACUAGGCAAAAUGGUGCCGUAACUUCGGGAGAAGGCACGCUGACACGUAGGUGAAGUGAUUUACUCAUGGAGCUGAAGUCAGUCGAAGAUACCAGCUGGCUGCAACUGUUUAUUAAAAACACAGCACUGUGCAAACACGAAAGUGGACGUAUACGGUGUGACGCCUGCCCGGUGCCGGAAGGUUAAUUGAUGGGGUCAGCGCAAGCGAAGCUCCUGAUCGAAGCCCCGGUAAACGGCGGCCGUAACUAUAACGGUCCUAAGGUAGCGAAAUUCCUUGUCGGGUAAGUUCCGACCUGCACGAAUGGCGUAAUGAUGGCCAGGCUGUCUCCACCCGAGACUCAGUGAAAUUGAACUCGCUGUGAAGAUGCAGUGUACCCGCGGCAAGACGGAAAGACCCCGUGAACCUUUACUAUAGCUUGACACUGAACAUUGAGCCUUGAUGUGUAGGAUAGGUGGGAGGCUUUGAAGCGUGGACGCCAGUCUGCAUGGAGCCGGCCUUGAAAUACCACCCUUUAAUGUUUGAUGUUCUAACGUGGACCCGUGAUCCGGGUUGCGGACAGUGUCUGGUGGGUAGUUUGACUGGGGCGGUCUCCUCCUAAAGAGUAACGGAGGAGCACGAAGGUUGGCUAAUCCUGGUCGGACAUCAGGAGGUUAGUGCAAUGGCAUAAGCCAGCUUGACUGCGAGCGUGACGGCGCGAGCAGGUGCGAAAGCAGGUCAUAGUGAUCCGGUGGUUCUGAAUGGAAGGGCCAUCGCUCAACGGAUAAAAGGUACUCCGGGGAUAACAGGCUGAUACCGCCCAAGAGUUCAUAUCGACGGCGGUGUUUGGCACCUCGAUGUCGGCUCAUCACAUCCUGGGGCUGAAGUAGGUCCCAAGGGUAUGGCUGUUCGCCAUUUAAAGUGGUACGCGAGCUGGGUUUAGAACGUCGUGAGACAGUUCGGUCCCUAUCUGCCGUGGGCGCUGGAGAACUGAGGGGGGCUGCUCCUAGUACGAGAGGACCGGAGUGGACGCAUCACUGGUGUUCGGGUUGUCAUGCCAAUGGCACUGCCCGGUAGCUAAAUGCGGAAGAGAUAAGUGCUGAAAGCAUCUAAGCACGAAACUUGCCCCGAGAUGAGUUCUCCCUGAGACUUAGAGUCUCCUGAAGGAACGUUGAAGACGACGACGUUGAUAGGCCGGGUGUGUAAGCGCAGCGAUGCGUUGAGCUAACCGGUACUAAUGAACCGUGAGGCUUAACCUU